rnacentral:snRNA from 1 species
GCCCUAGCUUUGGUAGUACAUAUACUGAAAUUGGCAUGAUACAGAGAAGAUUAGCAUGGCCCCUGCUCAAGGAUUACACACAAAUUCAUGAAGUGUACCAUAUUUUU